rnacentral:tRNA from 1 species
GUAUAAAAAGCGAGAAAUUUGCAUACGGUUUCGGCCCGUAUUUUAAGGGUGAGAGUCCUUUUUUAUAUU